GAGAAGAUAGUGGCAACGGGUGAGUAACACGUGGGUAACCUGCCCAUAAGAGGGGGAUAACAUCCGGAAACGGGUGCUAAUACCGCAUAGUUUCUUGAUCGCAUGAUUGAGAAAGGAAAGACGGCCUUUGUGCUGUCGCUUAUGGGAUGGACCCGCGGCGUAUUAGUUAGUUGGUGAGGUAACGGCUCACCAAGACGAUGAUACGUAGCCGACCUGAGAGGGUGAUCGGCCACAUUGGGACUGAGACACGGCCCAAACUCCUACGGGAGGCAGCAGUAGGGAAUCUUCCGCAAUGGACGAAAGUCUGACGGAGCAACGCCGCGUGAGUGAAAGAAGGUUUUCGGAUCGUAAAACUCUGUUGUCAGAGAAGAACAAGUUGGAGAGUAACUGCUCCAGCCUUGACGGUAUCUGACCAGAAAGCCACGGCUAACUACGUGCCAGCCGCCGC
rnacentral:rRNA from 1 species